AGAGCUUGUCUUUCUCCCUGUGACAAUAUAAGCCACAUAACCACAAGGACUUUCCUAUGUUCUAUCUGCUACAGUAUCCUCAUGGCCUAGACUAGAAGUGAGCGCUGAUAGAUGCUGUCCUGCUCAAUGUCAGCUGUCAACUCUAUAUGACACAAACCUAAAACACCCUAGGAAGAGGGAGCUGCAGCUAAAGAAUUGCCUCCAUCAGAUUGGCAUUGUCUACAGAGAGUUUUCUUACUUGCUAAUCUAUGUAGGAGGGCCCAGCCUGCUGUGAGCAAUGCCAUCCCUAGACAGGUGGGCCUUUAUAAGAAAGCAGGCUGAAGAAGCCAUGGAGAGCCAUCCAGUAAGCAGCAUUCUUCCAUGGCCUCUGCUUCAGAUCCUGCCUCCAGGUUUCUGCUUGAGUUCCUAUUCUGGCUUCCCUCGAUGGACUGUAAUGGGUAAGCUGAAAUAAACCCUUCCCUCCCCAAGUCGAUUUUGGUCAGUGUUUUAUCAUAGCAACAAAAGCGUUCUAGAACAGAUGUUCAACAAACAUUCUGGAACUCUAAGCCUCCAUGCAACAGGAAGGUUAGGGUGUGGGCAAAAUAUGAAAGGGGGAUCAUUUUUCCCCUCCACCUCCACACUAGAAACAUAUUGGAAAGUGAGGAGAGCAAAGUGUCCGGGACAUUCUGAGGAACAGAAUUCAUACUCCAUUGACAGAGUCUUAAGACUCCAGCAGGGGAUGCAUGUGAGCUGCGCCUAGGCACAGAGGACCAAAAUCAAAGUCUCCAUCAGAUGGAUGCCCCAAGAAGGAGCAGAGGCAGGGAGAGAGACAGAGAAUCAAAGAUGGGUGCCCCUGAAACCAUCCAUCCCUGCCCAGCUGUGGAUGAGCCCAUUCUUGUACAGAACUAGUAUAAGUGUCUACAGGUGUUGAGUUUGUGGUUACAUUGGCUGUGCUUUGUGUAGAUGGCAUUUGUAGCCAUCUGUACAGCUUCUGGCUCUUACGUUCUUUCUAUAGGAGCGCUAUCCUACUGAUAGACUCGGGAAAAGGGGUGGGGAGUCACUGCCUACAUUUGUGUAUUCACUAGUGACCCCCCAAGACUCCAGGGGAUAGUUCCACUACAACCGUCACAUGGAUGGCCCGGGUUAAACUAAAUGGAUCAUAAAAACAAAACCAAAAGUUAUGAAUUUGGGAAAAGGAUAGGUAGGUAGGUAGAUAUUGAUAAGAAUAAGAGGGAGAUAAAUUGGGUGUGUGUGUGAGUAACCAGAAUGCAUUGUGUGUGUGUGUGUGUGUGUGUGUGUGUGUGUGUGUGUGUGUGUAAUGUCAGGCAUCUAACUUUAUCAAAAUAUUCCAUGAAAAAAAAAAAAAGAUGGGCCCUGACAGAAGAGGGGAGGUCUUGGGGUAACCUGUGUGAGCAGGUUGUCUUCCUCUGAAACCUUGGAACUAUUCUUCACUGAGCUGUUGGAAGAAAGCUUGAACUCAAGAGUUGCUGUCUGACUCAUGGAUCCUGUGCUUGAUGAGAGGUGAACUCCCCAAAUGAAAUGAUGCUAAGGCAAAACGAUACCAUUCAGGAUUCUCUGGUGCUGUGACACUACAGAAUGGAAGGUUAUUAAAGGCUUGGACCAUUGUGAGGAGUGGGAGAAGAGGAGGAAUCAGAUGUUUCCACACAUGCUGACGGCAAAGUGCCAAGCUGGAUGUUGUACAUGUACACAUAUGUAAUUUUAUUUACUGCACAAAUCAGUAUCCUUUAAAACGAUGUAUCUGCUAUGAUGUUUUAGGUUGGCGUAUGUGUAGUAGAC